rnacentral:rRNA from 1 species
CAUGCAAGUCGAACGGAAAUCUUUUAGAUUUUAGUGGCGAACGGGUGAGUAACACGUAAGCAACCUGCCUUUAAGACGAGAAUAACAAUUGGAAACAGUUGCUAAGGCUGGAUAGGAAAUAAAAAGGCAUCUUUUUAUUUUUAAAAGACCUUUUUCGGAAGGUAUGCUUAAAGAGGGGCUUGCGUCACAUUAGUUAGUUGGUAGGGUAAAGGCCUACCAAGACGAUGAUGUGUAGCUGGACUGAGAGGUUGAACAGCCACAUUGGGACUGAGACACGGCCCAAACUCCUACGGGAGGCAGCAGUAGGGAAUUUUCGGCAAUGGAGGAAACUCUGGCCGAGCAACGCCGCGUGAACGACGAAGUACUUCGGUAUGUAAAGUUCUUUUAUUGAAGAAGAAACAAUAGUGGAAAAACUAUCUUGACGUUAUUCAAUGAAUAAGCCCCGGCUAACUAUGUGCCAGCAGCCGCGGUAAUACAUAGGGGGCGAGCGUUAUCCGGAAUUAUUGGGCGUAAAGGGUGCGUAGGCGGUUUAAUAAGUCUCUAGUUUAAUUUCAACGCUUAACGUUGUCCUGCUAGAGAAACUGUUUAACUAGAGUGAGAUAGAGGUAAGCGGAAUUCCAUGUGUAGCGGUAAAAUGUGUAAAUAUAUGGAGGAACACCAGAGGCGUAGGCGGCUUACUGGGUCUUUACUGACGCUGAUGCACGAAAGCGUGGGGAGCAAACAGGAUUAGAUACCCUGGUAGUCCACGCCGUAAACUAUGAGUACUAAGUGUCGGGGUUAAACUCGGUACUGAAGUUAACACAUUAAGUACUCCGCCUGAGUAGUACGUACGCAAGUAUGAAACUUAAAGGAAUUGACGGGAUCCCGCACAAGCGGUGGAUCAUGUUGUUUAAUUCGAAGAUACACGAAAAACCUUACCAGGUCUUGACAUACUCUGCAAAGCUAUAGAAAUAUAGUGGAGGUUAUCAGGGAUACAGGUGGUGCAUGGUUGUCGUCAGCUCGUGUCGUGAGAUGUUAGGUUAAGUUCUAAAACGAGCGCAACCCCUGUCGUUAAUUGCCAGCACGUUAUGGUGGGGACUUUAGCGAGACUGCCAAUGAAAAAUUGGAGGAAGGUGGGGAUUACGUCAAAUCAUCAUGCCCCUUAUGAUCUGGGCUACAAACGUGAUACAAUGGCUAUUACAAAGAGUAGCUGAAACGCGAGUUUUCGGCAAAUCUCAAAAAAAUAGUCUCAGUUCGGAUUGAAGUCUGCAACUCGACUUCAUGAAGUUGGAAUCGCUAGUAAUCGCGAAUCAGCAUGUCGCGGUGAAUACGUUCUCGGGGUUUGUACACACCGCCCGUCAAACCACGAAAGUGGACAAUACCCGAAAGCGACAGCCUAACUGCGUAAGCAGAGGGAAUCGUCUAAGGUAGGGUCGAUGAUUGGGGUUAAG